GAUGAACGCUGGCGGCGUGCCUAAUACAUGCAAGUCGAACGCUGAAGAGAGGAGCUUACUCUUCUUGGAUUAGCUGCGAACGGGUGAGUAACGCGUAGAUAACCUGCCUUUUAGCGGGGGAUAACUAUUGGAAACGAUAGCUAAUACCGCAUAACAAUGGAUGACACAUGUCUUUUAUGUGAAAGGGGCAAUUGCUGCACUACAAAAUGGACCUGCGUUGGAUUAGCUAGGAGGUUAGGGAAUGGCCCAACUAAGCGACGGUACAUAGCCGACCUGGGAGGGUGGAUCGCCAACACGGGAAUGGAGACACGGCCCAGACUCCUACGGGAGGAAGAAGUGGGGAAUUUUGGGCAAGGGGGGAAAGCUUGACGAAGAAAGACCGGGGGGGUGAGGAAGUUUUUCGGUCGGUAAACUCCGUUUUAUGUGAAGGAAGAGUGGGAGAGUGAUAAGUUCACGUUGUGACGGUACCUAAUCAGAAAGCGACGGCUAACUACGUG
rnacentral:rRNA from 1 species